CUCGCUUGCCCUUUGCCGCCC
rnacentral:miRNA from 1 species